rnacentral:rRNA from 1 species
GGCGGACGGGUGAGUAAUACAUCGGAACGUGCCCGAUCGUGGGGGAUAACGAAGCGAAAGCUUUGCUAAUACCGCAUACGAUCUACGGAUGAAAGCAGGGGACCGCAAGGCCUUGCGCGAACGGAGCGGCCGAUGGCAGAUUAGGUAGUUGGUGGGAUAAAAGCUUACCAAGCCGACGAUCUGUAGCUGGUCUGAGAGGACGACCAGCCACACUGGGACUGAGACACGGCCCAGACUCCUACGGGAGGCAGCAGUGGGGAAUUUUGGACAAUGGGCGAAAGCCUGAUCCAGCCAUGCCGCGUGCAGGAUGAAGGCCUUCGGGUUGUAAACUGCUUUUGUACGGAACGAAAAGACUCUGGUUAAUACCUGGGGGUCCAUGACGGUACCGUAAGAAUAAGCACCGGCUAACUACGUGCCAGCAGCCGCGGUAAUACGUAGGGUGCAAGCGUUAAUCGGAAUUACUGGG